UUACCUGGUCUUGACAUCCCUGACAACCCGAGAGAUCGGGCGUUCCCCUUCGGGGGACAGGGUGACAGGUGGUGCAUGGUUGUCGUCAGCUCGUGUCGUGAGAUGUUGGGUUAAGUCCCGCAACGAGCGCAACCCUCGACCUUAGUUGCCAGCAUUCAGUUGGGCACUCUAAGGUGACUGCCGGCUAAAAGUCGGAGGAAGGUGGGGAUGACGUCAAAUCAUCAUGCCCCUUAUGACCUGGGCUACACACGUGCUACAAUGGGCGGUACAAAGGGUCGCGAACCCGCGAGGGGGGAGCCAAUCCCAAAAAGCCGCUCUCAGUUCGGAUUGCAGGCUGCAACUCGCCUGCAUGAAGCCGGAAUCGCUAGUAAUCGCGGAUCAGCAUGCCGCGGUCGAAUACGUUCCCGGGCCUU
rnacentral:rRNA from 1 species